UUUUAGAGUUUGAUUCCUGGCUCAGAUUGAACGCUGGCGGCAGGCUUAACACAUGCAAGUCGAGCGGUAACAGGGGUAGCUUGCUACCCGCUGACGAGCGGCGGACGGGUGAGUAAUGCUUAGGAAUCUGCCCAGUAGUGGGGGACAACAAUCGGAAACGGUUGCUAAUACCGCAUACGCCCUACGGGGGAAAGCAGGGGAUCUUCGGACCUUGCGCUAUUGGAUGAGCCUAAGUCGGAUUAGCUAGUUGGUAGGGUAAAGGCCUACCAAGGCGACGAUCCGUAGCUGGUCUGAGAGGAUGAUCAGCCACAUCGGGACUGAGACACGGCCCGAACUCCUACGGGAGGCAGCAGUGGGGAAUAUUGGACAAUGGGGGCAACCCUGAUCCAGCCAUGCCGCGUGUGUGAAGAAGGCUUUCGGGUUGUAAAGCACUUUCAGCGAGGAGGAAGGCUCUAAAGCUAAUACCUUUAGGGAUUGACGUACUCGCAGAAGAGC
rnacentral:rRNA from 1 species